AACUACGCGGAACCAGUCUAGCAACAACCUCAAUGAGCCUGGAAAUAGACUCUCACCCAGCCUCUCCAGAAUCCUGCAGAACCUGCAAGCUGGUCUCCUGAUUCACCAUCACAAGAUACCAGCCAGAGCAAUCCAUUUAAAAUGCGUGGGACCUUCAUGCUGAGAGCCCAUGAUGCAACUCAGCCCGUGUGGUUGGUUCAUGAUCAGCUGGAGUCAAUGAGGUGCCAUGGCACAUUGACUAGGACAUCUGGGGAAGAACUCACAUCUUUCCUGAAGUAUUUAAAGCUGGGAUAGAAGAAACGUUGCAAGUACUACAGUGAUAUGCACGCUUGAAGAGAAGUAGAUGCAGAUGAACUUGAGAAACUGGGUCCUGGGGUGACAUCACUUAAGCCUCUUCUCUGAGUUGAGUUUGAUCUCCCCUGGUGUAACAG